CACAGAAUGAGUUGAAUUCUUUUUUUUUUAACAUUUUUAAAAUUUUAUUUUUGAGAUGAGGUCUUGCUCUGUUGCCCAGGCUGGAAUGCAGUGGCACGAUCACUGCUCACUGCAUCCUUGACCUCCUGGGCUCAAGUGAUCCUCCUCAGCCUCCUAAAUAGUUGGGACUACAGGUGCACACCACCACACCCAGCUCAUUUUUUAUUUUUAUUUUUUGUAGACAGAGGGUCUCACUAUGUUUCUCAGUUUGGUCUUGAAUUCCUGGACUCAAGCAAUUCUCCUGCCUUGGCCUCCCAAAUUGCUGGGAUUACAGGCAUGUACCGCCAUACCCAUACCUGGAGUUGAACUCUUAUGGGUCUCUGGCUGUUUUGUGAAGGAAUCAUGAGUGUUAUUUAAGGGGCCCAUUACGGCUUCGUUUUUCCUCAGGAUGUUUGUAGCCAAUGCACCAGACAACUGUUGCUCUCUCUGUCCCUGCCUUCCCUCCAUACUCUAUCCUGAAACAGAAAUGAUUUGUUUGGCUUCUCCUCUGAAGGAAUGAUCCUCUUGACCUCCCCUUUACAUCUCCUGUGAGCCUCCAGAUUAGUACAGCUGUGGCAUUAGGUGACCUUUAUUUUUUCUUCUUUCUUACCCCACUAGUAUCUUGAGGAAGAUGCAUAAUAUGAGUAAAGUGACAGAAGUCCUAGAGACCAAGUGGGAUGCCCGGUCCCAGACUCAGCCCCAGAUCUGGUGCAGCAACCACACCCGGUCUACCCCACAUCACUCCCUGAGCAGCACGUCUCCACAGCUUGACAAGGAGGAAGUGCAUCCUUCAGUGACUGUAGUCAAUGCCAGCCCUGCCAUUUCUGCUGAUUCAGCUGCUUUGCCCAGCAACCAAGGAACCAGGUCUGCCCAGCCCUUCCAUCCUUCGAGCGGCACUGGCCCAGCAGAGCAGGACACUAGAACACGGUAGCAGUGGCCCAUGGGAAGAGAUGAGGCCUCAAAAAAUGAAUGCAUCUGGAGACCUAGCCUCCUUCUCCUCUUUGUACCAACCCAACUCCGAAACCUCUGGUAAAACACAAAGGAGCAUUUAGUGAAAUCGAGCCCAUUGGUAGGAAUGACACAUUCCUUUCCUGGCCAGAGGAUUUUUUGGUUCCUCUGUUAGAACCUGGUUCAUAAAAAAUGACAGGACAAUAUGUAGAUCAGCCAGACAGUGAGAACCAGCUCAGUGCUUGUUCUUUGAAAGUGCCUUCUCCUAGCCACCCUACCUAGGAACUCACUCUGGGCAGGAGAGUAGGAGAAGUCAGGGACAUUCUGAGGUGCUCUACAAGGAGGAUAAGUUACCUCACACUUAAAUGUUGCCUUCUCUCUGUGCUACAACCUUCUUAGGCCUAGAUUAAGACUGUCCUGGAAUGCUAAGCUCAGAUUUCCAUGGGGAAGGUCUUCCUUAGGUCAGGAGCUACUGUCGGAUGGGAAACUAUUUCUACAGAGUCACCCAGCCCUACACACUCUUUCCACUCUUUCACACACAUCUUUCACACACACUGUGCAUACAACCACGUGCCAAUCCUGCCCCCAUAAAUAUUGCUUUUGGAUUUGGAACCAAACAUCCUGGCACCCGGCAGCUAGGAGUGCAGCUAUUUAGAGGAAUGGCUUGAAGCAGCUCCAUUUCUGUGUCCCAGGUAGUGUAACAAUAAGACAUUUUAAAUUCUCAGAGAAAAGCCUGACCCUACGCAAAAUCUCCCAGUGGGUGAAGCCUAUUCUCAGCCUCCUCUCUCUGUGCAUCUUUUUCCUUCCUUGGAGAUUGUUCCCUUCUCUCCUGUUCCCCCACUUCAGAUCCUGAUACCUUCCCAAGCUCUUCCAUGUUCCUCUUUGCCAAAACUGGUUAAAGGAGAACAUUCACUAUCACUCAUUAUUCACAGCCUGGUUUAAUUUCAUAUGCACUUACCUUGGUCUUUCUGUCUGUGAGUGAGUGAAAUCUCAAAGGCUGUUGAGUCGGGAUCAUCAUCGGGGAGAGGGAUGAGGUAGAGAGGGAGAUUCUCUGGAUUGUUUUCCAUACCAAGGAGGUAGACAGCCUUUCCCAUUACUAGGCCAGUUCUGCCUAGAGGCCUUUAGCAGUUUCUCACCCUGUGUCCAUCUCCCUUAGAUGUACUUGGUGGUCUCUGUCUGGGAGGAGGCCUGUGGUGUUUCCUUACAGGGGGCCACCCUGUGAUUGAAAGCCCAGGACUUUUAAGUAAAGUUGCCUGGUGCUUCCUGAAUGCCCAGGAGAGAGGAAGAAGCUGACAGAAGGAUAGAGAUAGGUAGGGAUCUUGCAGAGAGAUGCCACGCAGGCCCCACAGCUGCCCAGGGAUGAUCAGGCUUCCCUACCUCCUACCUCUCCUAUGUCUUGGUGUUUGCAGUAGGGGCAGACCUGCUGGAAAAGAAUCUUGCUGAGAUACAGAACCUGCGCCAGCGCCUGGAGGAGUCCAUCAGUCUCAAUGACCGCCUGAGGGAGAGGCUGCAGCAUGUGCUUAGCAAUGGUGACCAAGGAAAAGGUAGAAAGGCAGAAAUUUUAUGUUUCUGUCCACGUCUAGGGAGUCUCAAAAGGGCACAUAGCUUCUUGGGGCAGAGUUUUACCGGUUUAAAGCACAUUGGUGUGCAUGAUUUCACUUGUUCCUUACAAUUAGCCCAGAUAGGGAAGCAGAAGGGUACUAUUGCUCCCACUGAGUGGUUUGCCCCAAGCAGGGAUAGGUCUAAUUCUCAGGACUAUCUGAAGUGAUGUCAUUCUUAUAUGUCCUUAUACUGCCUGGUGCUGUUCUUGGGCUUGUGGCCUGACUGGCGAGUGGUAGCACCAAGGUUUCCAUGGUGCCCACUUCAGCAGAAUGAGAGCAACGUUCCACCUUUAUGCCAUUACUACAUGCCUUUGAUAUCACCUGGCUCUUCUCUUGUGCUAAUGACCCUUAUUUCCACACUCUUCACCCUGGAUGCUCUCACUUGGAGACCAGUUCUUCCCCAUCCCUUCUUCUCUCAUAUUAAAGCCAGAAGAAUGAUGACCUACAACAUCAUAACUGAAGCCAAUUAGUGGGAAAGACCCUGAUCCAUACCUGAAGCCACUGCACAUGAGAGUGUGUUGCCUACUCUGGUGUGCCCAGCAAAACCUGAGCCUGAGCCAUAUUGCACUGCUAUCCCAGUGCAGGAGGACCUCAGGUUUUCAGAUUAGCUGAGACUAAAACUUUAAUGGAUGCAGGAAAGUACAUCUUUGAAAGUAUCUGUUACCUAAAGGUAUGACUUGUCUGGGUUGUUUUUAUUCCCUGUGAAGUAUCUACCUCCAUCUUCCAUGGGUAGGACCUGUAGUCCACACCCUAGUUGUGCAACAGGAAAAGGGCUCAGGGAAGCAAACUGGAGUUUUCAGGCUUCCAGAAGGAAAAAAUCAAAGCUGAAGUCACUUCCAUAUUUCUUCCUUUCUGCAGCGAUGCCCAGUUGUAGAAGCAAAGAGAAGUAGGCAGCACAAAAGUUGACCAGAUCCACACAGCCUAAAACUAUAAUAGCUUAUUCCCAAUCUAGAUAAGGCUGCUUCUUAAAAGAUCCCACCUACAUGUUCGCAGACUCCUGGCUCCAGGAGUAAAUAUCUCUGGAAAAUCUACAUGUCAUGUUUAAGUUCCUUUCCCAAUCUUUGCAGAUAAUCAGAGAGUCACUAGCUGUCAACUAGAAAGCUUGGUGUCUCUCUUCCUGUCUUUCCCACUUUCACCUGGGUACGGAAUAGGAGAGAAGAAAUUAAGUUUUUGUUUGGUACAAUCAAUGAAUCUCCUAAAUCCCUCCAGACUUCAUUGCAGCCCUGUCUCUCCCUCCCUAGGUACUGCACAGUCCACUGUAGCCCCUCAUUCAUAUACUCAGAGUCACUCUUCUGGCUGUGGUGAGGACAUCCUGUGACAUGAUGCCUAGAGAGUCUGGAAGAAUGUUCUCCAGAACUUUUCCAGCCCUAUCCAACAGAAUUCUUGGGUGGGAACUUGGAGGCAUUGGAUAUUAUCUUUAAAUGAAGAGAUCAAAUUAAUAAAUUAUUUUUAAAAUUAGUGUUUAUAUUUAUUUAUUGAACACCUAUAAAGAGUAAAAUUUGUGUAGAAAAGAAUAAAACCAGAAUGGUCUGAAAUGUGUGGAAAAGCUUAAAGGAGAAAUGAGUUUUCUUUAUUAGCUAUCUCUGUUUCAGAAGACUAGAAUGGGAAUUUCACUGCUGUGGGAAGGUAAGAAAUAUUAAUAGAUAGUGAGGAUGUAGAAUUCCUUGACUUCCAUUACAUGCUUAGGAAGAACAGAAAAACUGUCACAUGUGAAAGGAUUGCAGAAUAAAAUCUGAAUGUUUUAAAAUGAGGACAACUUACCAUACCAGGUGAGCUUCACUCAAGAGAAUGACAGAACUCGUGAAGAGCACGCUUGCCUCGAGCCUGGAAUAUAGCCAUUCUGACUACUGUGAGAUGAUAUCUCACUGUAGUUUUAAUUUGCAUUUCUCUGAUGAUUAGUGAUGUGCAUUUUUUCAUAUGUUUGUUGGCCGCUUGUAUGUGUUCUUUUGAUAAGUGUCUAGCCAUGUCCUUUGCCCAUUUUUUAAAUAGGGUUAUUUGGUUUUGUCUUGUUGAUUUAAGUUCCUUAUAGAGUCUGGAUAUUAGUCCUUUGUCAGGUGCAUAGUUUUCAAAUAUUUUCUCCCAUUCUGUAGGUUGUCUGUUUACUCUGUUGAUUAUUUCUUUUGCUGUGCAGAAGCUUUUUAAGUUUAAGUCCCAUUUGUCAAUUUUCGUUUUUGUUGCAUUUGCUUUUGAGGUCUUAGUCAUAGGCCAAUGUCAAGAAGAGGUUUUCCUAGGUUUUCUUCUAGCAUUUUUAUAGUUUGACGUCCUAUAUUUAAGUCUGUAAACCAUCUGAAUUAAUUUUUGUAUAUGGUGGGAGGUAGGGGUCCAGUUUCAUUCUUCUGCAUUUGGCUAGCCAGUUUUCCCAGCACCAUUUAUUAAAUAGGGUAUCAUUUUCCUCAUUGUUUAUUUUUGUCAACUUUGUUAAAGAUCAGUUGGUUGUAGGUGUGUGACUUUAUUUCUGGGUUCUCUAUUCUUAUCCAUUGAUUCAUGUGUCUAUUUUUGUGUCGGUACCUUGCUGUUUUUGUUGCUAUAGCCUUGUAGUAUAGUUUGAAGUUAGGUAAUGUGAUGCCUCCGGAUUUGUUCUUUUUGCUUUGGAUUGCUUGACUAUUUGGGCCGUUUUUUGGUUCCAUGGGGAUUUUUUUUUUUUUUUUUUUUUUGAGACAGGGUCUCACUCUGUCACCCAGGCUAGAGUGUAGUGGCAUGAUCUCGGCUCACUUCAACCUCUGCCUCUGGGUUCAAGUGAUUCUCCCACCUCAGCCUCUUGAAUUAGCUGGGACUAUAGGUGUGUGCUACCACGCCUGCUAACUUUUGUGUGUUUUGGUAGAGAUGGGGUUUCACCGUAUUGGCCAGGCUGCCCUUGAACUCCUGACCUCAAGUGAUCCUCCUGCCUCAGCCUCCCAAAGUGCUGGGAUUACAGGUAUGAGCCACAAUGUCCAGCCCCAUAAGAAUUUUAUAAUUUUUUUUUUUAAUUCUGUAAAAAAUGACAUUGGUAACUUGAUAGGAAUUGCGUUGAAUCUUUAGAUUGCUUUGGAUAGAAUGGUCAUUUUAACAAUAUUGAUUCUUCCAGUCCACAAGCAUGGAAUGUUUUCCCAUUUGUUUGUGUUGUCUAUUAUUUCU
rnacentral:lncRNA from 1 species